AUUGAACGCUGGCGGCAGGCCUAACACAUGCAAGUCGAACGAGUGGCGGACGGGUGAGUAAUGUCUGGGAAACUGCCUGAUGGAGGGGGAUAACUACUGGAAAAGGUAGCUAUUACCGCAUACCAUCGGAUGUGCCCAGAUGGGAUUAGCUAGUAGGUGGGGUAAAGGCACACCUAGGCGAGGAUCCCUAGCUGGUCGGAGAGGAUGACCAGCCACACUGGAACUGAAGCACGGUCCAGACUCCGGCGGUAGGCAGCAGUGGGGAAUAUUGCACAGUGGGCGCAAGCCUGAUGCAGCCAUGCCGCGUGUAUGAAGAAGGCCUUCGGGUUGUAAAGUACUUUCAGCGGGAAGGCAUUACCCGCAGAAGAAGCACCGGCUAACUCCGCGCCAGCAGCCGCGGUAAUAC
rnacentral:rRNA from 1 species